UACGGAGGGGACUAGCGUUGUUCGGAAUUACUGGGCGUAAAGCGCACGUAGGCGGAUUUGUAAGUCAGGGGUGAAAUCCCGGGGCUCAACCUCGGAACUGCCUUUGAUACUGCAAAUCUCGAGUCCGGAAGAGGUGAGUGGAAUUCCUAGUGUAGAGGUGAAAAUUCGUAGAUAUUAGGAAGAACACCAGUGGCGAAGGCGGCUCACUGGUCCGGUACUGACGCUGAGGUGCGAAAGCCAGGGGAGCAAAGCGGG
rnacentral:rRNA from 1 species